rnacentral:rRNA from 1 species
AUGGCAAGAUUCUGGCAGGGGAGUUUUGUGGAUAAGCGUUCUUUGCAUUGGAUUGCCUCGGACAAACUUGCUACACCAAAGAUUAAGGGAGGGAUGGGCUUUCGUAACCUCUGACAGUUUAACCUAGUGCUUCUCGGGAAGCAUGGCUGGAGGUUCAUGACAAAACCGGACGCUCUCUGCACAAGAGUGAUGAAAGGAAGAUACUUCCGUAACUGUGAUUUUAUGCAGGCAACAACACCCAAAUCUUCAUCAGCUAUAUGGAGGGCCAUCAUAGCUGGUUGUGAAGCUCUCAAUGUUGGCUUGGUAAAAUGCAUCGGUGACGGCGUAUCCACCUCCAUCUGGGAGGACCAAUGGAUCCCGUCGACUGUCUCUAUGAGACCACUUUUUAGGCCAUCGUCUACUACUGUAGACACGGUUAACGAUCUAAUUGACAUGGACAAUUGGACCUGGAGGCGUGAUCUUGUACGCACAACUUUCAUCACACCGAACGUGGAGGCAAUAUUGAACAUCCCACUCCGGCAGGGCAGUGGAGAGGAUUUCCUUGGUUGGGCACACAAGUGA